rnacentral:rRNA from 1 species
UAGGGAAUAUUGGACAAUGGGUGCAAGCCUGAUCCAGCCAUGCCGCGUGCAGGAAGAAAGCCUUCUGGGUUGUAAACUGCUUUUUUCAGGGGAUAAAAGGCCCGUGCGCGGGACAUUGAAAGUACCUGGAGAAUAAGCCACGGCUAACUACGUGCCAGCAGCCGCGGUAAUACGUAGGUGGCGAGCGUUGUCCGGAUUUAUUGGGUUUAAAGGGUGCGUAGGCGGCUCAUUAAGUCAGUUGUGAAAUACGACAGCUUAACUGUCGAGGUGCAAUUGAUACUGGUGAGCUUGAGUACUGAUGAGGUAGGCGGAAUGGACGGUGUAGCGGUGAAAUGCUUAGAGAUCGUCCAGAACACCGAUAGCGAAGGCAGCUUACUAAGGAGUAACUGACGCUGAGGCACGAAAGUGUGGGGAUCAAACAG